UACAGGACACAGCUCAGGUGUGUGUCAGGUGCUGCUCAACAGGUAACCUACAGGACAGAGCUCAGGUGUGUGUCAGGUGCUGCUCAACAGGUAAACUACAGGACACAGCUCAGGUGAUCUCUGUGACGGUGCUGCUCAACAGGUAAACUACAGGACACAGCUCAGGUGAUCUCUGUGACGGUGCUGCUCAACAGGUAACCUACAGGACACAGCUCAGGUGUGUGUCAGGUGCUGCUCAACAGGUAACCUACAGGACAGAGCUCAGGUGUGUGUCAGGUGCUGCUCAACAGGUAACCUACAGGACACAGCUCAGGUGUGUGUCAGGUGCUGCUCAACAGGUAACCUACAGGACAGAGCUCAGGUGUGUGUCAGGUGCUGCUCAACAGGUAACCUACAGGACAGAGCUCAGGUGUGUGUCAGGUGCUGCUCAACAGGUAACCUACAGGACACAGCUCAGGUGAUCUCUGUGACGGUGCUGCUCAACAGGUAACCUCCAGGACACAGCUCAGGUGCUGCUCAACAGGUAACCUACAGGACACAGCUCAGGUGUGUGUCAGGUGCUGCUCAACAGGUAACCUACAGGACACAGCUCAGGUGUGUGUCAGGUGCUGCUCAACAGGUAAACUACAGGACACAGCUCAGGUGUGUGUCAGGUGCUGCUCAACAGGUAACCUACAGGACACAGCUCAGGUGUGUGUCUUCAGUGAGCACGGUAUCAGAUGAUCUCUUUAACACCUGGUGGGUCAUGUGAUCAAAACUGUGCGUUACAGUGUAAAUACUCCUGUUCGAGUAUCUGAGGGACAAAAAAUGACCGAAGUAUAAAUAAAUGAAGAAAUGUUUGGAGAAAUGCAGUAAUGUAUAAAAAA